AAUAGAUACCCAGGUAGUCCACGCCGUAAACGAUGAGUGCUAAGUGUUAGAGGGUUUCCGCCCUUUAGUGCUGCAGCUAACGCAUUAAGCACUCCGCCUGGGGAGUACGGCCGCAAGGCUGAAACUCAAAGGAAUUGACGGGGGCCCGCACAAGCGGUGGAGCAUGUGGUUUAAUUCGAAGCAACGCGAAGAACCUUACCAGGUCUUGACAUCCUCUGCCAACCCUAGAGAUAGGGCGUUCCCCUUCGGGGGACAGAGUGACAGGUGGUGCAUGGUUGUCGUCAGCUCGUGUCGUGAGAUGUUGGGUUAAGUCCCGCAACGAGCGCAACCCUUGAUCUUAGUUGCCAGCAUUCAGUUGGGCACUCUAAGGUGACUGCCGGUGACAAACCGGAGGAAGGUGGGGAUGACGUCAAAUCAUCAUGCCCCUUAUGACCUGGGCUACACACGUGCUACAAUGGAUGGUACAAAGAGCUGCGAACCCGGCGAGGGUAAGCCAAUCUCAUAAAGCCAUUCUCAGUUCGGAUUGUAGG
rnacentral:rRNA from 1 species